CAGAAACCCUAGGAAAGCCUUUUGGCUUUCCCGUCAGCCCAGUGCGCUGGAGUUCAGAGCUGGUGAUCUCACCUGGAACUGCAGAGCAAGAGGACACAGAGCUGGCAGAGUGGGGGCAGCUAUUUCCAGAGGAAGAUGUUUAAAAGGGCUCCAAGUCUUCCAACCAGCAGCUCAGAGUGUCAGCCCCCUGCUACUUUUGGAGGAAUGAAAAUUAUUUCAGGACAUUGCAUACCUGGACACAAUAUCUGUUACAAAAACAACCACGGUCUAAGGUAAUGUGAUAGACUACUACGGGCAUUAAGCCAUAUGGCAUUGGACAAGUGUUAUGCAGGAAGCCUGCUCCAAAGAUGUUUUUGGGCACAUUUGGGAUAGCAGCAGUUUCUUUUUGAAGAUGAAACACUUUGCAAGAAUGAAUGCAGAAUUUAUUAUGAGAGAGGGAACACAUGAAGGGCGAAGGGACUGGUCGAUUUAUUGA
rnacentral:lncRNA from 1 species